UACAGAGGUCUCGAGCGUUGUUCGGAUUCAUUGGGCGUAAAGGGUGCGUAGGUGGCGUGGUAAGUCUGGUGUGAAAUCCCGGGGCUCAACCCCGGAACUGCACUGGAUACUGCCAUGCUUGAGUACUGGAGAGGAGAUUGGAAUUUACGGUGUAGCAGUGAAAUGCGUAGAUAUCGUAAGGAAGACCAGUGGCGAAGGCGAAUCUCUGGACAGUUACUGACACUGGGGCACGAAGGCCAGGGGAGCAAACGGG
rnacentral:rRNA from 1 species